UACGGGGGGAGCAAGCGUUGUUCGGAUUUACUGGGCGUAAAGGGCGCGUAGGCGGCCACCGCAAGUCGACUGUGAAAUCUCCGGGCUUAACCCGGAAAGGUCAGCCGAUACUGCGGGGCUAGAGUGCAGAAGGGGCAACUGGAAUUCUCGGUGUAGCGGUGAAAUGCGUAGAUAUCGAGAGGAACACCUGCGGCGAAGGCGGGUUGCUGGGCUGACACUGACGCUGAGGCGCGAAAGCUAGGGGAACGAACGGG
rnacentral:rRNA from 1 species